rnacentral:rRNA from 1 species
CGGCGUGCCUAACACAUGCAAGUCGAGCGAUCUCUUCGGAGAGAGCGGCGGACGGGUGAGUAACGCGUGGGUAACCUGCCCUGUACACACGGAUAACAUACCGAAAGGUAUGCUAAUACGAGAUAAUAUAUAAGAGUCGCAUGACUUUUAUAUCAAAGAUUUUUCGGUACAGGAUGGACCCGCGUCUGAUUAGCUUGUUGGCGGGGUAACGGCCCACCAAGGCGACGAUCAGUAGCCGACCUGAGAGGGUGAUCGGCCACAUUGGAACUGAGACACGGUCCAAACUCCUACGGGAGGCAGCAGUGGGGAAUAUUGCACAAUGGGCGCAAGCCUGAUGCAGCGACGCCGCGUGAGCGAUGAAGGCCUUCGGGUCGUAAAGCUCUGUCCUCAAGGAAGAUAAUGACGGUACUUGAGGAGGAAGCCCCGGCUAACUACGUGCCAUCAGCCGCGGUAGAUACGUAUGGGGCUAGCGUUAUCCGGAUUUACUGGGCGGAAAGGGUGCGUACGCGGUCUUUCAAGUCAUGAGUUAAAGGCUACGGCUCAACCGUAUUAAGCUCCUGAUACUGUCUGACUUGAGUGC